AUGAUCAUGUCUUGGAGUUCCCGUCGUGGCGCAGUGGUUAACAUCAUAAAAUACAGUACGGGGACCCACUGGAGAAUACAUACUGUGAGAAUUUUGUGGCAUAUUAAAAAGACUUGGUUCCUAAAUGAGCUUUUCUUCCCAGUCGUUUUUCUUUUUCUUUUUCAGGCUACACCUGCAGUAUAUGGAAUUUCCCAGGCUACGAGUCCAAUUGGAGCUGCAGCUGCAGACCUACACCACAGCCACAGCAACGCGGGAUCCAAGCCGUGUCUGUGACCUAUACCACGGCUCAUGGCAAUGCCAGAUCCUUAACCCACUCAACAAGGCUAGGGAUCCAACCUACAUCCUCAUGGAUACUAGUUGGGUUUAAGAACCUCCUGAGCCCCAACAGGACCUCCUCUUUCCAGUUCUAAUGACACCAUUUAUGAUGUCAUUUGGUCAUUACAUAUGGUAGCUCAGAAUUAGGCCUGGGAUCAGACAAGUCACUGAGAAUAAGAAUUAUAACACAUGGAGUUCCCGUUGUGGCACAUCGGAAACGAAUCCGACUAGGAACCAUGAGGUUGCGGGUUCCAUCCCUGGCCUUGCUCAGUAGGUUAAGGAUCCGGCAUUGCCGUGAGCUGUGGUGUAGGCCAGGGGCUACAGGUCCGGUUAGACCCCUAGCCUGGGAACCUCCAUAUGCUGCGGGUGCGGCCCUAAAAAGACAAACAAACAAACAAACAAAAAAAGAAUUAUAACACCCAACCCCUGUUAUCUCUUCUUCACUACUUGAUUAUCAUGGACAGAGAGGGGUGGGUGUGUGUGUGUGUGUGUGUGUGUGUAAACAAUAGGAGAGCAGGUGAUCAGGAAAAAAACACUAAGGUGAGGUCAUGAGUGGAUGGUAAACAGAUUUCUCUUUGUAUUCUCUCUUGAUAUAAAAAGAGAACUGCUUGGUUUGUGACAAAAUAGAAAGUUCCUUUAAACAGUGGUCUGCAAAGAGUAGUCUUUGGACCAACAGCACCAGUAUUACUUUGGAAUUGCUAGAAAUGCAAAUUCUUUAGGCCUGGCCUAGACCUUCAGAAUUGGAAGGUCUAGGGGUGGGGGCCCAGCAGUGUGAUUUAAGGAGCUCAGGUGUUUUUACGCACGUUCAAGUCUGAGAACCACUGUUUUAAAAAAACUCACUUAAACCAAGGUUUUUUGAUGGGAAUGUAGGAAAAAAAUGUUCUAGGUUAUUUAGGAUGAAGCAAGUUGGUUUUUUUUGUUUUGUUUUGUUUUUUUAAAUGUCUUUCCUAGGGCAGCA
rnacentral:lncRNA from 1 species